ACACUGUACAAUGGAUUUCUCGGCUCCCGCAUC
rnacentral:rRNA from 1 species